AUCUUGGAGCUAUCCUAGGUGACUGUAGAACUAUUUUAGCUUCUACUCUUGUGAACUCUCAUGUUAAGUUCAUCAGGAGACAAGCAAAUGAAGUUGCUCAUAGGCUUGCCGGGGCGGCUACAUCGUUAGCUAGUUUCCAUAAUUUUAUCGAUAUUCCUACAUGUAUUUACGAUAUUAUUAUGAAUGAAAUGAGAUAAGCCUUUU
rnacentral:lncRNA from 1 species